rnacentral:rRNA from 1 species
AUGGAGCGAGAGGACACGUUCCAUGUCUUCUGUAGGUGUCCGCGAGUGGUCGCUCUUUGGAAGGCUAUGGCGAAACACUGGAAAUUGCCGGAAAUUGCAGGAGUACGUCCCACGGGCGUGGAGUGGCUAUUUGAUGUACUGCAUGAACUUGGAGAUGAUGAUCGCAUGCGUGUGCUAACGAUUUUUUGGCGUACUUGGCAUGUACGUAAUGAGAUAGUACAUGAUAAGCCACCACCACCAGUGGACGCAUCAUGCCGAUUCUUGCAGAGCUAUGCACAUUCGCUAAUUGGCAUCAAGUAUGGCCCUGCAACCGAUCAGUUAAAAGGAAAGACUCCUAUUGAUGUUGACGGACGCCCACUGGUUUUAAUACAUGAGAAGGUUGCUACUCAGGCUGCUAGAUGGACUCCUCCUGUACAUGGCCGGGUGAAGCUAAAUGUAGAUGGCGCUUACAUCAAGGAGACGGGUGAGGCAGGUGCCGGGAUGAUCCUCCGCGACAGCACCGGUGGGAUAGUUUUCUCCGCAUGCAGAAAUCUCCUGAGCUGUGCGAGUCCAUUGCAAGCUGAGUUAGCUCUGUGCCUAGAGGGGCUCAAGUUUGCACUACAAUGGUCAGACUUUUCGAUCGAUGUUGAGAUGGAUUGUAAAGUCGCGGUAGAUUCCAUUCAGUCACAGUCCAUGGACAGAUCGAUGAAUGCAAUGUUGGUGAAUGAAGUGAGGAAACUUCUUGGUGAAAGGGAUAGCUCAAUUUCUCAUAUUAGUAGGAACCAAAAUAUUGUAAGUCAUAGACUAGCUACUUUUGGUCUUGUUGAAGCCCGUAUGGCUUUAUGGAUUAGUUCGGGCCCUGCUAAUGUACCACAACUUUGUAUGGAGGACCUCUCUCCUAGUUGA